AGGUCAAUGAUGACAAAAAAAGUCACAAAGAGAGAUGAUGGCAUAAACAUCAUGCUCAAUAGGAUUACACAGAAGCCC